rnacentral:misc_RNA from 1 species
GAUGAAGAACGCAGCGAGAUGCGAUACUUGGUGUGAAUUGCAGAAUCCCGUGAACCAUCGAGUCUUUGAACGCAAGUUGCGCCCGAAGCCACUAGGCCGAGGGCACGCCUGCCUGGGCGUCACACGUCGUUGCCCCCCACCAUCUACUCCUUCGGGAUUGCGGGGGGCGGAUGAUGGCCUCCCGUGCGCCUAGCCGCGCGGUUGGCAUAAAUACCAAGUCCUCGGCGACGCACGCCACGACAAUCGGUGGUUGCGAAACCUCGGUUGCCCGUCGUGUGCGUUCGUCGCGCAUCGAGGGCUCGAAAAAAUGCUCGGCUCCGGCUCGGCUUUCAACGCGACCCCAGGUCAGGCGGGGUUACCCGCUGAAUUUAAGCAUAUCAAUAAGCGGAGGA